GACGAACGCUGGCGGCGUGCUUAACACAUGCAAGUCGAACGGAAAGGCCCUGCUUUUGUGGGGUGCUCGAGUGGCGAACGGGUGAGUAACACGUGAGUAACCUGCCCUUGACUUUGGGAUAACUCCUGGAAACUGGGGCUAUUAUCGGAUAGGAGCUCCUGCUGCAUGGGGGGGGUUGGAAAGUUUCGGCGGUUGGGGAUGGACUCGCGGGUUAUCAGCUUGUUGGUGGGGUAGUGGCUUACCAAGGCUUUGACGGGUAGCCGGCCUGAGAGGGUGACCGGCCACAUUGGGACUGAGAUACGGCCCAGACUCCUACGGGAGGCAGCAGUGGGGAAUAUUGCACAAUGGGCGGAAGCCUGAUGCAGCAACGCCGCGUGCGGGAUGACGGCCUUCGGGUUGUAAACCGCUUUCGCCUGUGACGAAGCGUGAGUGACGGUAAUGGGUCAAGAAGCACCGGCUAACUACGUG
rnacentral:rRNA from 1 species